rnacentral:rRNA from 1 species
UCCGGUUGAUCCUGCCAGAGGCCGCUGCUAUCCGGCUGGGACUAAGCCAUGCUAGUCUAGGGGCUUGUACCCCUUCGGGGGUGCAAGCACCGGCGGACGGCUCAGUAACACGUGGACAACCUGCCCUCGGGUGGGGGAUAACCCCGGGAAACUGGGGCUAAUCCCCCAUAGGUGAUGGGUGCUGGAAUGCCCCAUCUCCGAAAGCGCUCAGCGCCCGAGGAUGGGUCUGCGGCGGAUUAGGUAGUUGGUGGGGUAACGGCCCACCAAGCCUAAGAUCCGUACGGGCUGUGGGAGCAGGAGCCCGGAGAUGGACCCUGAGACAAGGGUCCAGGCCCUACGGGGCGCAGCAGGCGCGAAACCUCCGCAAUGCGGGAAACCGCGACGGGGUUAGCCGGAGUGCCCGUGCAUUGCACGGGCUGUCGGGGUGCCUAAACAGCACCCCAUAGCAAGGGCCGGGCAAGGCCGGUGGCAGCCGCCGCGGUAAGACCGGCGGCCCGAGUGGCGGCCGCUCUUAUUGGGCCUAAAGCGUCCGUAGCCGGCCCAGUAAGUCCCCCGGGAAAUCUGGUCGCUUAACGAUCAGACUUCCGGGGGAUACUGCUGGGCUAGGGACCGGGAGAGGCCGAGGGUAUUCCCGGGGUAGGGGUGAAAUCCUGUAAUCCCGGGAGGACCACCUGUGGCGAAGGCGCUCGGCUGGAACGGGUCCG